rnacentral:lncRNA from 1 species
CCAAAUUAUCUUUGUAAAGUUUCAUGAUCUAAUUGUUCUUCGACAUGAACGUCAUAAAAUGUGGGGGGUUGGGAAAAUGAAGCUUCAUCAACAUGAGUCAUUUCAGCAAUAUCUGUUCUAACUCUAUGUCUAGGAGAAAGGUUAGGAUUAGGAUUACUACUACUUUCACCUUUACUAUUUUUAUUAAAAAUAUCAAACAUAUUUUUAGGUGCCAUAAUUUAAAUAUAAAACUAAAUUAAAAAAGCUAACACAAAUAUUAAACACACAAAUGAAUACGAA